GAGAUGGCAGAGAUGGGACUGGAUGAACAGAGAUGACAGCUAGUUGAUGAAUCAGCCUCAGAUAUUCACAGAAAACCAGGACGACAAACCUCUGUGUGGAACUGGAAUGAAUCUCUGGUGAACACUAGGGUUCAUCCUCCGGGGACCAUAAAGACCUUCACACUAACGGUGAAAGCGGCGCAGUGACCUUACAGCAAUCAUGAAUCUCAGAGUCUGUAUAGCAAAGAUGGACAUAAUCCCUCUGACUCUGCAUUGGAUGAGAGGGUAGAGCGCUAGGUUUGUGCAAGCUUGGUUAUCAAACUGCAUCCAGAAACCAUCCAGACCUCCAACUGCACAAACAUGUCCACGGUUCAGUGACUCCAGUCAGCUAUCGGCCAGUCGAAGCAUCCACUCCUCUAACUCUAAACGUGGAAGAUUCUCCUGAAGUGACCUAAAGAAGCUGAAGUCAAGCUCAGCAAACAGCAGCUGCCGGAGCUGGGGUCAAAUCAAAGACGCCACCAGUAGCACCAGCAGAGACGCAACCAGGACAACCAGACUUUGCAGUAUUUCCUGUGUUUAUCUCAAGUUCACUGUAGAGAAAAUAUCUUUCUAAAUUAUGUCUCAAAAAUCAGUUUGAUGCAGAGGAGAACACUGCUAAUAGACAGCGCACUAUUGUGCAUCAAAUCCUCGAGAGGAAAACCUCCACACAGCACAGCCACACACCUGUGGGGGCGGGACCUGCCCGGUCAUCCAAUGAAAUGUGGCCUCCACCUCUGGUCUGCGAUGAUCCAACGCUGUGUGGUUUGUGACUGAUUUGAUUUAUUGUCUAAUCAUAUAUGACUAGUAGCUAUUUACUCGCAUUAAUGCUGAACCACUGUAACUCAAACAUGUUUAAGCUAAAAGAAAAGAAAAGAAAGAAGAUCAAAUAAAUCUGUGAUUCUGGAAGGUUUAAAUAUUAGGAGGUAAAAGUAAAAGACUUCAGCCCGGUUAUCUCUGCAGCAGGCUGUGAACGGUUUAUUUCUGUGGUUCAGAUAUUUUAAUGUGUUUACUCACUUUUAGAGCCUCAAGUGGCCAUGAGAGGAACUGCAGUUUUUAGCGCUUCCAUGUCGGCUUCAUGUUUGAGCUGCUCGCUCGCUCUGUGUCUCUGUGCUGGGCUCUUUCGUUCUUGUUAUCCUGAUGAAUAAACUGCGGUUUUAA
ensembl:lncRNA